CGUGGGCAGCGGCGACCGCGGCACUCGGUGCGCUCUACUGGGUCUCCUGUGUGUCAGCGGGGCUCUCCCCACCCGCCCUCACCCCACUCCCGAGCUCUAGGUGCCCCCGCAGCCCCUGCCCCCGGAGCCCCGGGCGUCCUCCCGCGCACCGCCUGCCCCCGGAGCCCCGGGCGUCCUCCCGCGCUCCCCCUGCCCCCGGAGCCCCGGGCGUCCUCCCGCGCUCCCCCUGCCCCCGGGGCCCAGGGCGUCCUCCCGCGCUCCCCCUGCCCCCGGGGCCCAGGGCGUCCUCCCGCGCUCCCCCUGCCCCCGGGGCCCAGGGCGUCCUCUCGCGCUCCCCCUGCCCCCGGGGCCCAGGGCGUCCUCCCGCGCUCCCCUGCCCCCGGGGCCCCGGGCGUCCUCCCGCGCACCGCCUGCCCCGGGGCCCAGGGCGUCCUCCCGCGCUCCCCCUGCCCCCGGGGCCCAGGGCGUCCUCUCGCGCUCCCCCUGCCCCCGGGGCCCAGGGCGUCCUCCCGCGCUCCCCCUGCCCCCGGGGCCCAGGGCGUCCUCCCGCGCUCCCCCUGCCCCCGGGGCCCAGGGCGUCCUCCCGCGCUCCCCCUGCCCCCGGGGCCCAGGGCGUCCUCCCGCGCUCCCCCUGCCCCGGGGCCCAGGGCGUCCUCCCGCGCUCCCCUGCCCCGGGGCCCAGGGCGUCCUCUCGCGCUCCCCCUGCCCCCGGGGCCCCGGGCGUCCUCCCGCGCUCCCCCUGCCCCCGGGGCCCCGGGCGUCCUCCCGCGCUCCGCCUGCCCCCGGGGCCCAGGGCGUCCUCCCGCGCUCCGAGCUCUAGGUGCCCCCCGCAACCCCUGCCCCGGGGGGCCUCCCGAGCUCCCCUCCCCAGCCCUCCCCCGUGCACACUCCACAGUCCCCGCACUCGGCGCCAUUCAGAAGCCACGCCGUGCUUAUACUAAAAGAAUAAAGAUUUUUAUUAAGCAUUGUAAGUUGCAUUCGAUAGCCUCCGGAACAGCACGCCACGACCCACCUACAAUCAGUCAGACCCAACAGCAGUUCAUUCUUGCACAAUCCAUGAGUUAG
rnacentral:lncRNA from 1 species